UUUUUUUUUUUUUUUGUCUUUUUGCCAUUUCUUGGGCCUCUCCCAUGGCAUAUGGAGGUUCCCAGGGGUGGCCCUAAAAAGAAAAAAAAAAAGAAGGAUUUGAGUAUAAAUUGCUUACUUGGGAUAUAACCCAGGAACUAACAGUAGGGGAGCUGGAGUGGCAAAGGAUGCUGUUGACUGUGCUGGAAACAUGGGUACCAGGGGAAACUGGAUAAGCACUGAUGUUUGCUAGUGUUGGUAUCAUCCCCUUUUACAGAUGAGGAACCUGAAGUUCAAGUAAGUCAAGUCACUCACCUGAGUUUAACUGGCUUAACCAUAACCCGAUGCCAGCCUCUUUCCUUAACUAUGGCAUGUUUGAUCUCUCAAGGCUGCACAAUGGACAUUAAUAAAAAUAAUAAUUAUUGCUUAUAAUGUCUAUGUGGUAAAGGGAGGUGGUGCUGGGAAAGCAAUGAUUUUUUAAAAUUCUACUAGGAAUAUUAAGUGAUAAAGUAAAUGGUAAGAUUUCAGUGUAAAUCUUUACAUUUUAAACUAUAAUUAUUAUUCCAUUUUAAUAAAACUAUAGAUAACUGUAGGGCUUCAGUGGCCUUUCAAGGAGACAGAACUCAAAGCCUCUGGCCAAGACAAUUACCAGACCCUUAUCAUCGCCCACCCAUCUCAUUGUAAUACCUCCUCCAAUGCCUUGAGCAACCUGGCCUACUCCUUCUUGCCCCCUACUAGGAAAAGCAGGUGGCCCAGUCCUCACCCUGCCUUCCUAGGGGCCUUAUAGGCCCCCAAUCAAUCAGCAAGUGUAGUCUAGAUCCCUCUUUCACUAACCAAUCAUCCAGUCAGCAAGUGUAUCCUGAGACCUCUCCUGCCUCUGGGCUAUAAAAAGAGACAUGACCAUGAGCUCAGCAUCAGCCCUCCCUGAUCAUCAGGACGUUGUCCUACUGCUGCAGCAGUGCCUCUCAUCUUAAACUCUUUUCACUUUGGGGUUGGCUCUCCCUGUGUGUCAGGAAGUCAUCCCGCCACACUUGCAGCAUCUCUUAUCUCAGUGAACUCUACUUUCUCACCAUCUCGCAUGAUCAAUAAACUCUUCUUUCUUUUCUCCCCUAUAUGAGUCUGGAAAUUCUUUUCCGACCUGUGUGCACCGACCAUGACAUUUUGGUGUCCUGUACAGGACCUUACUGGGGGGUCUCUCCUAUACAGACCACGACAGAAAUAAUGACUAAGGCACACAUGAACACAGGGUACAGAUAUGGAUUGCCAUAUUUUUUCAGUUUUCAUUAUCAAGAGAGUCUAAUUUAUUAUUAAUUGCAGUAAGUUUUUUUUUUCCUUUUAUGGCUGCACCCUUGGCAUAUGGAUGUUUCGGGGCAGGGACUGAAUCCAAGGUGCAUCUGAAAUGUCAAAGCCAGAUCCUUUAACCCACUGCACUGGGCCGGGGAUUGAACUGGCACCUCUGCAGCAACGGCGGCCGCUGCAGUUGGAUUCUUAACCCACUGUGUCAGAGGCCACAGUGAGAACUCCUAAGCCACAAUAAAUUACAUAAGCCUGUUAGCCAGGAGACAGCAGUGUUCAGGAGUGCCUCUGCCUGUUGCUCUCAAUCUUACUUCCAGACCCCUAAAUGGGUUGAAAUAAUUGGGUAUAAGUGCCAAUUAUCAUUUUUUAUUAGUUCAGAUUAACAAGGGUUUAGUGGGAGUUCCUGUCAUAGUUCAGCAUUAACGAACCCGACUGGUAUCCAUGAAGACUUGGGUUUGAUCCCUGGUCCCGCUCAGUGGGUUAAGGAUCUGGUAUUACUACGAUUGUGGCGUAGGCUGGUAGCUGCAGUUCUGAUUCUAUCCCUAGCUUGGGAGCUGCGGCCUUAAAAACCAGAAUAACAAAAAACAAGGGUUUAGUGGCAACAAUUCAUAAUGCAACCUUCUUAUCAUGAGCAACUUAAUUCUCCCAGCAAAAUUCUCUCAGGGAAAAUUUUCAAAGAUGAGAAAAACUAGGGGGUGGGGCUGGUCCAAAAGAUUAAACGGCUUCUCAAGGUAAAGUAAACAGUGAUGAUGGAUUGUUGAUUUCCGACCCAGUUUUAGUGGAUCUGCCAUCUUCAUCUACCUGGUGACUACUCCUCCUUUUUCUAGGUAGCACUCCCCUGAAGAAUUUCAGGGAAGUAUCAUUCUCCCACUGUCAGUCCUUGUGGUUCAGGCAGCUGACCCUUUAUUGCUCAAGGGAAGGUCAGGUGACAGAAGUCUGUCCAGUGGGUACAUUUCAUCCUCCAAGCUACAGUGAUCCUAGUUCAGGAGUGGCUGUGGGUGACUUAAGCCAAGCUCUGGUUUCUUUUGCUUUUUUAGGGCAUAUGGAAAUUCCCAGGCUAGGGGUCAAAUCAGAGCUACAGCUGCUGGCCUGUGCCACAGCCACAGCAACGCCAGAUCUGAGCUGCAUUUGUGACCUACACCACAGCUCAUGGCAACACACCAGAUCCUUAACACACUGACUGAGGCCAGGGAUCAAACUCUCAUCCUCAUGGAUACUAGUCAGGUUUGUUUUCACUAAGCCACAACAGGAACUCCAUGGUUUCUGGUACUUCAUAUGGAACAAGAAGUACAAAGAAUUUCUGUAUAUUGAAAUAGGUAGGCCUGAGCUGUUGUUGGCUUUCUUGUCACUUCAGGAGAGUCUGCCCACCAAGAAUUACAGGCAAUACAGAGGACAUAAUGGGAGAUGAAAGACAAUUCUUGAUGAUGUCAUUUGAUCCUCUGGAUAGAGACAUGGCUGAAAUCAUUAAUUCCUUCACUUUUUGCUUAUAUGCACAAGUCAAUAUCUUUCAGUGAUACAGUUUGAGUAAAGUUUGUCUUAUUUAUUUAUUUGUCUUUUUCCAGGACCACACUCAUGGCAUAUGGAGGUUCCCAGGCUAGGGGUCUAAUUGGAACUGUAGCCGCCGGCCUAUGCCAGAGCCACAGCAGCGUGGGAUCCGAGCCACAUCUGUGACCUAUACCACAGCUUAUAGCAACACCGGAGCCUUAAAACACUUCUCGAGGCCAGGGAUUGAACCUGAAACCUCAUGGUUCCUGGUCGGAUUUGUUAAUCACUGAGCCAGGAUGGGAAUUCCUGUCAUUUUUAAACUAAAGGAGUUCCAGCUAAUACUACAGGUUGUAAGAUUCCCAAGUACAGUGCUCUCUCUAGCACAUUCUGGGUGCUUCUUGCUAUUGACAAUAAUGACACAAUAUAGUUCACUUGCAUGAGUAUUUUAAAAUUAAACAUUAUUGAAAAUACAAUAGGGCUAUUUCUACUGAUGCAAAUCAUUAUUAGCUUAGGUCUAUUUGAAGCAAAAAUACAAGCUAUACCUGAACUUCUAUUUUCUUUGCUUAAAACCAAAUUGGUCUGCUAUUAUUAAGUGGAAUUCAUUUCACCUAUUAAACUAUUAACACAGGGAGUACUGAUCAAAUACUAAAAGAGAUUAUGUAGCUUCAUAUUUAUGAUUUAACUGCAACAAAGCAGAAAAGCUUUUGUAUACUACACCUGGUAAAAAUUCAAGAGGAAAAACCGAUGCUAAAAAAAGAAAUAUAGCUUGAAACAUCUGCUAAUAUUAUAAUCUGUUAUAUUAAUUCAAUCGCUUAACAAAGCUUCAUGAACACCUGCUCUUCACAGAAGAAUAAAACAUGAACAAACUCAACUGUUUUCUUUUUCUUUUUCCUUUUUUUUUUUUCUUUUUGGGCUGUGCCCACAGGAUGUAGAAGUUUCCUGGGCCAGGAACUGAACCCAUGCCACAGUAGUGACCUGAGCUGCUGCAGUGACAAUGCCAGAUCCUUAAGCCUCUGAGCCAUGAGAGAACUCCGUCAACUGUUUUCUUUUGAUCUGGCAGUUUAUUUUAUCAAAAUUUGGCCUUCUUUUACAGGCACAGAAUCUAAAGGUCUAAGGUACAAAUAUAACGAUUUCAUUUUUUUCAUAUUAAUUGUACCCACUGCCUUUCUUCUAAAGAGUUUAAAUGAUUUAAAAAAAAAAA
rnacentral:lncRNA from 1 species